UACGUAGGGUGCGAGCGUUGUCCGGAAUUAUUGGGCGUAAAGAGCUCGUAGGCGGUUUGUCACGUCUGCUGUGAAAUCCCGAGGCUCAACCUCGGGCCUGCAGUGGGUACGGGCAGACUGGAGUGCGGUAGGGGAGAAUGGAAUUCCUGGUGUAGCGGUGAAAUGCGCAGAUAUCAGGAGGAACACCGAUGGCGAAGACAGGUCUCUGGGCAUUAACUGACGCUGAGGAGCGAAAGCAUGGGGAGCGAACAGG
rnacentral:rRNA from 1 species